UCCCUGAGACUUUAACUUGUGAUUAAAUAAUCAUUCACAGGUCUCUUUCUCAGGAAGA
rnacentral:pre_miRNA from 1 species